AAUCACGUUUCUAGAAGGGGAGGUUAGAGUGCGGUUUUCUUUUUCCUUCAAUUUCUUCUAGGUCGUCACUUAUCAAUGGUCCUCGCCAUUCUUUAUCACCCUCUCUUCAUCCCUUUUUCGGCUUAGAGAAGAAACUAGGUCAUUAAAGAAGACGUGACCACCGCACCUGCACCCCGGCCUUUCUGGCAAAUCUUGGUGGUUUUAUUCACGAAUCCAACCCUUUGAGUUAGCCAUCCUCCCCCUAAUCUCUAAUCUAAUGGUUUAUGACAGAUGGUUGGAGGUUUGCAGAUUUGCAGUUUUGGUGCUUGUCGAUUUUCUUUAUGCAACGAGAGGUAAAUUAAAAGGUGUAAAUGGAGAAAUCAGAGACCGUGCCUGCAAUAAUAAGAAGGAAGCAUAUAAUUUCGGCUUAAUUGAAGAGGCUUGAACAAGAAACUCACCAUUUAGAGUUUUGAAAGCAACGGACUGAACAGGUUGGAGCUACAAAGACUAAUCUCUUACGAUUUUGGAUGCUAAAUUACUGUAAUGACAUGCGCGGUUUUGUUUCCGCCCAUGAUGUCCACAACUCAAGCUUACUGGUGGUUAGCAGGUCGGCAAAUAACUACCCACUCUCCCCUCGGUGUCCGUGUAAUCCUCGCAUAAUGGAAGAGGUUUUCUGGUUCUCUAUCCUUAUCAACAUGUAACUCACAUUCAUACACGUUUCACUCAUCUUUCUCUGUCAUCUGAAACCCACCAGAACACCAUGUGCGUAGACCCUCUGACGAUACCACUAUGAACCACUCAUGUCUCUUCGGGAAUCACCCCACCAUUUAUUUGAACAUAUUUGUUAACUCAACGUCAGCCAUCGCCAUUGGGUCCAGCAACCAUAAUUAAUCAGUGUAGCAUCGUUGCUGCCUCACUGUUUUCCUGUUCAACUACUUAGGAUUGCUUAAAGAGGGAAAAAGAUAAAGCAUCUUAGAGGUUUCUAUACCCACGUAUUUGGAAGAUGUUUUGACUUAGAAAUAUCAGACCAUCACUAAUGACUUCCAACCCGUAAGGUGCAGUUGCAUCAUCUGUAAGCUGAGGUGGCAUCCUGGUCCAGCCACAUUCCAUGUUGACUUGAUGACGUGGCUAGCAACAUUCAUGACUAAAACUAUUAAAUUUUCUGACAUUAGGCUACUAGAAACUAAUUGGCUUUUCUGGCGUUUAAGGCUUAAUGGCAAAUUAUGUUUUUAUGCUAAUCACUUCUAUAACAAAGGUGCACUUCUAGCAAGAUUAACACCAAUGACAAAGGCGACACGAUAUUCGGCUCUCACAAACUUGUGACAUCGAUACACGUAAACGGGAGAUGCAAGAGUUUACCGAAGUCACAAAUUCGAGGAUGAUGUGGUUGAAUUUUCCUUCACUUUUCAUACAGGUA